rnacentral:rRNA from 1 species
GAUGAACGCUAGCGGCAGGCCUAACACAUGCAAGUCGAGGGAGAAGCCCUUUCGGGGGCAGACACCGGCGCACGGGUGCGUAACGCGUAUGCAACCUCCCUUUCACAGGGGGAUAGCCCGAAGAAAUUUGGAUUAAUACCCCAUAAUAUUAUUGGAUGGCAUCAUUUGAUAAUUAAAACUGCGGUGGUGAAAGAUGGGCAUGCGUCCUAUUAGCUAGUUGGAGUGGUAACGGCACCCCAAGGCUACGAUAGGUAGGGGUCCUGAGAGGGAGAUCCCCCACACUGGUACUGAGACAGGGACCAGACUCCUACGGGAGGCAGCAGUGAGGAAUAUUGGUCAAUGGUCGGAAGACUGAACCAGCCAUGCCGCGUGCAGGAAGAAUGCCUUAUGGGUUGUAAACUGCUUUUAUAUGGGAAGAAUAAGGUGUACGUGUACAUUGAUGACGGUACCAUAUGAAUAAGCAUCGGCUAACUCCGUG